rnacentral:rRNA from 1 species
GCUGGAAUCGCUAGUAAUCGCGGAUCAGAAUGCCGCGGUGAAUACGUUCCCGGGUCUUGUACACACCGCCCGUCACACCAUGGGAGUCGGAAAUGCCCGAAGUCUGUGACCCAACCUGAGAGGGAGGGAGCAGCCGAAGGCAGGUCGGAUGACUGGGGUGAAGUCGUAACAAGGUAAC